CGAGGAGCACGGGCUUAGCCGCAGAUGAUUUCAGGGACCCACCUCUUGCAUAAAUCAAGGUAUGCUCUUGCAUUGCUCUGCAUAGGGUGAUAUCUAGUAAGUUGUGCCACGCUGCCUGAUGUCAUGUGGCCAGUGUUUUGGACCGUGGUGCGUACCUAUGCUCCCUAUGUCACAUUCCCUGUGGCCUUUGUGGUUGGGGCUGUGGGCUGGAAUGGUUCAUCAGGGGAAAGGAUCCCCAGCCUGUGGAGGAGGAAAAGAGCAUCUCAGAACGCCGGGAGGAUCGGAAGCUGGAUGAGCUGCUAGGCAAGGACCACACCCAGGUGGUGAGCCUUAAGGACAAGCUGGAAUUUGCCCCUAAAGCUGUCCUGAACAGAAACCGACCGGAGAAGAAUUAAUGGAGGACACAGAGCCCUCUGGUCCUACUGUGGGCCAUGACUGGUCCUGGCCCCAUGUCCACUCAGCUGCAGAACCCACAUCUGAUUUGCUUUGUCGCUUAUUCUGGCCCAUCCCCCACCACACAGCCACACACAUACUGGCUACUCCUUGAUGGCCAGGCAGACACAGCCGCAGCUGAGGGGCCAAUGAAGAGGAAGGCUCUUGAGGGUUCUGGCCAGAAGGCUGCAUCUGUUGCAUGGUGGCCACAACUGCUCAGGCAUCCCAGCUUAUGGGUAUACUUCCAGGAGGAGUGUUAUGAAAUGAACAUUGGCUGCCAGUCUCCACGGAGAGGUGUUUUGGCCUCAAGUGGGAAUGGCCGGGAUUGGGUGUUGCUUUUUAGAGGGAUAUAUACAUGUCCAGUUUAAUUUUGCACUGGGAAGAAUUCAGAAAUCUACAGGGCUUCCUUCACGAGUUUGCCCUAUCCUUUGUGCUCUUUGGUCCUGAAAUUGUCUUGUCAGCUCAGGAAUGGGAUUCCCUGGGGAAGGAAAGCAUUUCUUUGUUCUGGGAAGCCCAGGCUGCUUACUAUGGGGCAGGGAGAAACAUGUGCCUGGUGAAUUUGCUUGAAAACAAUCAUCAUCUUCCACCUCCCAUCACUGUAUAAUGCAGAACUUGAUUAAAGUUGCGUCUAAGAACC